AAUGAACGCUGGCGGCAUGCCUAACACAUGCAAGUCGAACGAGACCUUCGGGUCUAGUGGCGCACGGGUGCGUAACGCGUGGGAACCUGCCCUUAGGGUCGGAAUAACUCUCCGAAAGGGGUGCUAAUACCGGAUAAUGGCUUCGGACCAAAGAUUUAUUGCCUUUGGAUGGGCCAGCGUUGGAUUAGCUAGUUGGUAGGGUAAAAGCCUACCAAGGCGACGAUCCAUAGCUGGUCUGAGAGGAUGAUCAGCCACACUGGGACUGAGACACGGCCCAGACUCCUACGGGAGGCAGCAGUGGGGAAUAUUGGACAAUGGGCGAAAGCCUGAUCCAGCUCUGCCGCGUGAGUGAUGAAGUCCUUAGGGUUGUAAAGCUCUUUUACCCGGGCUGAUAAUGACGGUACCGGAAGAAUAAGCUCCGGCUAACUACGUG
rnacentral:rRNA from 1 species